rnacentral:rRNA from 1 species
UGCAAGUCGAGCGGUAGAGAGAAGCUUGCUUCUCUUGAGAGCGGCGGACGGGUGAGUAAUGCCUAGGAAUCUGCCUGGUAGUGGGGGAUAACGUUCGGAAACGGACGCUAAUACCGCAUACGUCCUACGGGAGAAAGCAGGGGACCUUCGGGCCUUGCGCUAUCAGAUGAGCCUAGGUCGGAUUAGCUAGUUGGUGAGGUAAUGGCUCACCAAGGCGACGAUCCGUAACUGGUCUGAGAGGAUGAUCAGUCACACUGGAACUGAGACACGGUCCAGACUCCUACGGGAGGCAGCAGUGGGGAAUAUUGGACAAUGGGCGAAAGCCUGAUCCAGCCAUGCCGCGUGUGUGAAGAAGGUCUUCGGAUUGUAAAGCACUUUAAGUUGGGAGGAAGGGUUGUAGAUUAAUACUCUGCAA